rnacentral:ribozyme from 1 species
UGGCCAUGGCCUUGUGCGGCUUGGCUACGAGUAGCACCCAGCUUUACUGGUUCACCGUGGCGCUCGGAGUCGCUCAAGGGCCGCUGUUCCCGACGUCAAUGGCCUACCUGUCCAAAUGGCUUCCUCCAA